GAUGAACGCUGGCGGCGUGCCUAACACAUGCAAGUCGAGCGAGGGUUUGCUCAGUAUUGAGUAUUCUAAGUCUAGAAUGUUCAAUUCUGAGCAAAACCAAGCGGCGGACGGGUGAGUAACGCGUGGGUAACCUGCCCUAUACACAUGGAUAACAUACUGAAAAGUUUACUAAUACAUGAUAAUAUAUAUUUGCGGCAUCGCAGAUAUAUCAAAGUGUUAGCGGUAUAGGAUGGACCCGCGUCUGAUUAGCUAGUUGGUGAGAUAACUGCCCACCAAGGCGACGAUCAGUAGCCGACCUGAGAGGGUGAUCGGCCACAUUGGAACUGAGACACGGUCCAAACCCCUACGGGAGGCAGCAGUGGGGAAUAUUGCACAAUGGGCGAAAGCCUGAUGCAGCAACGCCGCGUGAACGAUGAAGGUCUUCGGAUCGUAGAGUUCUGUUGCAGGGGAAGAUAAUGACGGUACCCUGUGAGGAAGCCCCGGCUAACUACGUGCCAGCAGCCGCGGUAAUACGUAGGGGGCUAGCGUUAUCCGGAUUUACUGGGCGUAAAGGGUGCGUAGGUGGUCCUUCAAGUCGGUGGUUAAAGGCUACGGCUCAACCGUAGUAAGCCGCCGAAACUGGAGGACUUGAGUGCAGGAGAGGAAAGUGGAAUUCCCAGUGUAGCGGUGAAAUGCGUAGAUAUUGGGAGGAACACCAGUAGCGAAGGCGGCUUUCUGGACUGCAACUGACACUGAGGCACGAAAGCGUGGGUAGCAAACAGG
rnacentral:rRNA from 1 species